rnacentral:rRNA from 1 species
AGUGGCAGACGGGUGAGUAACAUGUAGGUAUCUUCCCAUUGGUGAGGAAUAACACGAGGAAACUUGUGCUAAUACCUCAUAAGUCUUUACGGAGAAAGCUUUAUGCGCCGAUGGAUGAGCCUGCACUUGAUUAGUUUGUUGGUAGGGUAAUGGCCUACCAAGACAAUGAUCAAUAGCUGAUUUGAGAGGAUGAACAGCCACAUUGGGACUGAGACACGGCCCAAACUCCUACGGGAGGCAGCAGUAGGGAAUCUUGCACAAUGGGGGAAACCCUGAUGCAGCGAUGCCGCGUGAGUGAAGAAGGCCUUUGGGUUGUAAAGCUCUUUCGUCGGGGAAGAAAAUGACUGUACCCGAAUAAGAAGGUCCGGCUAACUUCGUGCCAGCAGCCGCGGUAAUACGAAGGGACCUAGCGUAGUUCGGAACUACUGGGCUUAAAGAGUUCGUAGGUGGUUAAAAAAGUUGGUGGUGAAAUCCCAGAGCUUAACUCUGGAACUGCCAUCAAAACUUUUUAGCUAGAGUAUGAUAGAGGAAAGCAGAAUUUCUAGUGUAGAGGUGAAAUUCGUAGAUAUUAGAAAGAAUACCGAUUGCGAAGGCAGCUUUCUGGAUCAUUACUGACACUGAGGAACGAAAGCAUGGGUAGCGAAGAGGAUUAGAUACCCUCGUAGUCCAUGCCGUAAACGAUGUGUGUUAGACGUUGGAAAUUUAUUUUCUGUGUCGCAGCGAAAGCCAUAAACACACCGCCUGGGGAGUA